rnacentral:rRNA from 1 species
UACGAAGGGGGCUAGCGUUGCUCGGAAUUACUGGGCGUAAAGGGUGCGUAGGUGGUUCUUUAAGUCUGCUGUGAAAGCCCCGGGCUCAACCUGGGAAUGGCAGUGGAUACUGGAGAGCUAGAGUGCGGUAGAGGGUAGUGGAAUUCCCGGUGUAGCAGUGAAAUGCGUAGAGAUCGGGAGGAACACCAGUGGCGAAGGCGGCUACCUGGACCAGCACUGACACUGAAGCACGAAAGCGUGGGGAGCAAACAGGG